UAUAUAUAUCUCAGGGAUAUAAACUUUUAUUUUGAACAUGUCUGCAUAUGCAGGAAGUGACAGGAAGUUGAAGCUUUUUCACCGGAAGUAAAGGGGUGUGUCUACGUGUAUAUGUGUUUUUUUUCCCUCUCUCCCUGCAUCUCUUGUAGGAACCACGAAGGCAGAAGGACGAAAAGAUAAUGGAGUUCCACAGCAGUGAGGAGGUCAACACUCAGUGGAAACCUCCCCUAGACUACACCACCAACACCACCACCAUAUCCAAAUCUGUCACUCAACGGGUAUCAGAGAGCAGCUCACACACAGAGGCGAGCGACACAGACGGGUUUCUGCCCUGUCAAUCAAAGUCUUUAGUGGAUAACGAGGAGUUCUCCAGCACAGAAACGAAUAACGAGCAGGAUUCGAGGAACGCUUACGGUCCCUUUUCCAGAUUACACAACAUUUAUUCCUCGGAAGACAGCGAUGAAGACGUGUGUGCCUCCAGACUGAGGAAGACUAAGAGUAUUUUGGAUGAGUUAUUUACUGACGAGUCCAACGACUCUGCGUCAGACAGUGGAGAGGAUCUUCCUUCGAAACCCGGAGAUGAAAGCGACGGGAGCAGCUCGGACAUCAGCGAGUGCCCUCGACCGAGCGCGAGUACUCAUCGGGGGUCAAAGGUUGACGGUGUGGCUGUAAACAAGACGGAGAAAACCGAGGAUGGGAGGAGAGUGUAUAAUAAAAAGCACUACUGCCUGUUUUGCUCGAAACCUUUCAGCAAAAUCGCGAGACAUUUGGAAGACAUUCACUCAAAGGAAGAGGAAGUCUCGAAAGCGUGCAGUUUCCCAAAAGGUUCCAAACAGAGGAGGAUUUAUUUGGACGAGCUCCGUCUCAGAGGGAAUUACAUCCACAAUAUAGCCGUGCUGAAAUCAGGGAAAGGCGACUUGAUCCCGUAUAAACGGCCGCGAGGGGAAAUGAAAGCGAGUGACUUCAUGCACUGCCCGCACUGUCAGGGCUUGUUCACCAAAAAAGUCCUGUGGAGGCACAUGAAGGUGUGUAAACUGAGUCCUAAAGAUUACGUCCCCAAACCUGGGAAGAACCGCGCGCUCUCUCUGUGCGCCGCCACACAGCCGGUACCUCGCAACAUCAGUCCAGAGCUGUGGAAGAUUUUAAGCGUCAUGGUCUCAGAUGAAAUCACAGAAGCUGUAAAAAACGACAGCUGCAUCAUCCAAAUGGCGGAACACUGGCUCCGGAAGAGCGGAGAAUCUCCGAACAGUCAGUGCUUCAUCCGGCAGAAGUUACGAGAAUUAGGAAAACUGCUGCUCAGCGGCCGGAAAGUGACCUCUCUCAGGAAACUGGAGGAUUUUAUAGACCCGUACAACUGCAUGCAGGCGGUGGAAGCCGUGCGGCAUGCGUGCGAAUACAACAGCGAGAAAAACACCUACAAAAUUCCGUCCCUCGCUAAAAAACUGGCCAUUUGCCUGGCGCAGCUUAGUCGCCUCAUACGGACUAAAGUGGUGAUGCCGAAAAACGUGAAGCUGGCACGAAAACUGCAGAACUUCCAAAAAAUCCACGAGGAACGCUGGAACGACUUGUUGUGCGCCACGGUGUUGAGGAACUCCGAAGACGAGGAGGUGAAAUUUAAACCUCCGACGCUGCUGGCUUUCACAGAAGAUGUUCAGAAGCUCCAUGCGUUCCUGGACAAAGCACAGGACGAGUUCACGGCACAGUUGAUCCGCAGAGUCGUCCACUAAACACUGGUCGGAUUUGGCGAAAGUUGCUCUGACGCAGAUCAUUCUGUUCAACCGGAGCCGGGAAGCUGAAGUGGUGAGCAUGACACUGGAGACAUUUUUAUCCCGAGACAACACCGAUCCUGCCACAGACAUCGACUGGGCUCUGACCGAGGUCGAGAAACAACUCUGCCGCCAUUUUUACAAAAUCAUCAUUCGGCGAGACGGAGCGCGUCCCAUUCCCAUCUUACUGACUCUGAAAAUGCUACGCGCCCUGCAGCUGCUGGUGGAAAAGAGAGAAUCCUGUGGCGUGAUGAAGGACAACACUUACGUCUUCGCCCGGCCCUCUGCCUCGUCUCAUUUCCGGUGCUCGGACUGCGUUCGAGGCUUCGCGUUGAUUUGUGGAGCGAAGGAUCCUCAAGCGCUGACUUGUUGGAAAUUGCGGAAGCGAAUGGCAACGCUGUCCACGGUGCUGAAUCUCGGAGAUCCGGAAAUAAACCAGUUAGCAAGCUUUCUCGGACACGAGCUAAUCAUCCAGGAUGAGUUUUACCCCCUGCAUGAAAGGACACUACAGCUGGCAAAAGUGCACAAGGUGCUAACGGCAAUGGAGCAGGGACGAAUGAUGGAGUUCAUGGGCAAGAACUUCUCAGAUAUCGAUGUUCAACCGGAAGAGAAGGUUGAUCUGAGCAGCGACAAAGUAAAGAAUAGCUGGGAAUGUUCAGGCGUGUUUCCAGGCACUUGUCCAGGAAAAAAAGCAGCUCAGAAAAAGAGGAAACCGUGGAGCGGGCCUGAAAUCCAGGCCGUGGAAAAGCACAUGAAGGAUUACAUCACUUCCUGUCGAGUCCCAGAACGAUGAACAUCUCCAGCACCAGGAACUCCUCCAUCCACUCAGAGGAAGAGUGGGAGUACAUCGUCAAGCCCUUCUUCGUUAUAUCUAUCCACAUGCUCAAUUAUCUCCUGGGUCUUCCUCUAAACUCCUACGUCAUGGUGCUGCUUUUACACGGAUGUAGGAGAUUG
ensembl:lncRNA